AGGUGAACUGCGUUAUAGCGAGGGUCCACUAUAAUUUUGAAGAAAUGCUGCUUUUCAUGAAUCACUGAAGCCAGUUUUCCUGUGAGGAAAGAAAUGCCAUGUGACACCAAACAAUAUUUACAAAGGAGUCUUAGGGUCACAUGAAGGUAAAAUAAUGUUUUAUCAGUUUUUACACUAAAAGUGUCCCACAGAUGCUGCGACUUUUGUCCAAACUGCAGUAUUAGUGAAAAACCUCAACAAGCAGACGAGUGAGGACUUUGAUGCUGGGAAGGAAACAGAAAGAAGAGUCUGUCUGCUGAAUUCAAACUGGGAGCUGGUUCCACAGGAGAGGAUUCUGAAAGCUGAAGGCUCUGCCUCCCAUUCUAGUUUUAAAGACUGGGAAUCACCAGUACGACUGCAGUCUGACAGCGACGUGCUCUGUUGGGAUCAUACGGUACUAUACGGUUAUUAAGAUGUGAUGGGGCCUGAUUAUUCAAGGUGUUGCAUGUGAAAAAUGUGUUGAACAAUUUCUAUGAUAAGUUUGAAUACUGUAAUUGUUUCUGAUUAUAUUCUCAGAUUUUCCCUGCUGGUUCUUACAUAUCACCCAAUAUUUUUAAUCUCAAACUUCUUGGAUUAACUGGAUGUUUAUUUGGCAGUUUUUAGAACAACCUGAUUAUAAAUGAAUUACAACCGUCAAGCCUGGAAAUAAAAAAAUAAAUGUGAACAAAA